GGCGAUCGCACUGUUUAUUUUUUUAUACGAAUGGAAUCAAUAAUAUUGGUGUAAUAUUGAGGAAGUGGUUACAAUGGUAUUUAUCCCAUUAUGUGCGAGUAGGAGAUGUUGGCAUUCAGUUAAAUCGAAUCAGGUACGGCCAUGAUCGGACUUGAUUCAACGGUUAUUAUAUUGUCUAAUUGGAUUAGACUUAAUCUCACUUUUAAAUUGAAAAGCUA
rnacentral:lncRNA from 1 species